UAUUAUCUAGAGUCCCGACUUAAUGGGUUUGCUCUCUUUCGGCCUACAAGCUAAAUUGGGAGGAUUUUGUCCAUAAGGAUAAGCAUGUGUUAGUUGUCCCGUGCAUUUCUUAUGGGACCAAGCCAUUUUGAAUGUAGUUGUUAUGGAAUUUGUGCCCAUAUAGCUUAACCGCGGGGGAAAAAACUAUGAGGUGAACUCAGCAGUUCAAAAAAGAGAUCCGUUGAAUUCAAAAAUUGAAAAAUUAAUGCAAUAUUUUAAGAAAAAUUAAUUUUCCAAAUUCUUUUUAGUGAAAACAGUGCUAAAAAUAAUAUUUAACUGCUUUUGGUAAACAAAUUCUAUCAUUUUUAUGAAAAGUUUAGCUAAAAACAGAAUAAAUCAUGCCGAAAGUAUAGGCGCACCCUAGAACUGCAAUGCGAACGUGGCGCAAUUUGAGUUGUACCCAGUUUUGACAGAUCAAAAGCGAGGUAAGUAUUUUGACAGCGAAAAUUAAAAAGAAAACAAAAUACAAUUUUUGCGAUUUAAAUUUUAAUUUAAUCAAAACAAAAGUGAAAAUUAAUAAAAACAAAGUUGUUAAUAGUAUUCCUGAUUAACUGUUUUAUUUAUAUUAUAUAAAUAAUUUCAUUCAAAAUGAUCCAGAGUCAACUAUUUCUUCGAUCUAAAAAGUGACUUCAUCAUAUCCGAAGAAGUAUUUCCCUACGUAACUUGGCUCUAGCUGAUAGAGGAUUCUUUCAGGAUCUCUUUGCAGACACCGCUGGUCCAGAAAUGGCAAAACUUUUCACAGGUAAACAACAAAACAAUCUACGCCGGCUUUGAUCCAGAUAGUCACACGUUGGCAAUCUCCUGGUAAUAAUUGGACUUCUGCAUGGCAUCGAGAAAGACACAAUCCAAUUGCGUUUGUUGGAAUACGGGUCUUAUCAGUAAUCCUAGUGGCAAAACAAACGAAAUAAAGGGUUGUCGGUCAUUGAGACAAAUUAGGUAACUAUAAUAGAAACCUAAUGCGCUUUAAAACUCAAUCGUUUUGAUAAUAUUUCUUUCAGAGUCGUCAACAAUGCAUCAUAGUACGAAAAUCUGAAUGUAGUGGACUUUGUUGCCAAUAUGCAAAGACACUUUCGAAUGGGAUUACUGCUCUCAAUAUCGUCAGUCCAGUCGCGACUUAAUAGUGCAGCUGGAAUGAGCUUUACCGAAUUCACAUAACAAAUUUUCCAGGGUUAUGACUUGUUGCUUCAGAAAUACAAUUGUCGCUUUCAAAUGGGAGGCAGUGAACAAAUGGGUAAUUUAAUGACUGGCCACGAACUAUCAGCAGAGUAGAAAAAAAGAAAUCAGUAUUUGGAUUGACACUUCCAAUUGUGACCAACGAAGGAGAAGACAAGUUCAGAAAAUCUGCUGGCAAUGGUAUUUGGCUGGACGAAGAAAAAAGUAGCCAUUUUUUCUUUAUCAGUUCUAUUUGAAAAUGCCAGAUUCUGAAGUCAGUCGAGAAGCUUCUCAUUGAAAAACACAAAAAAUUACCAGAGAAGAGAAAAGCACAAAGAAGAUGUGACGCUUCAAGUCUAUGGAGAGGUAUGUCUAAAACAAGACGAAAAAGUCAAAGAGGCGCUCUGUAAGGGAAAUGUUGAAGGACUAGGUUAACUGAAUUACAACGAAAUCCGAUCGUUGAGAUUUUUUCAGAGCCUGCACUAUCCAUUCUUGAUCUGGCACUAAAAGCUAAAUGUUUUACAACAGAGACUGAUGCGAUCAGAAUCAUCACAACUGGAGGGUUCUAUAUCAAUCAAAAGUAAAUGUAGUUUAUGUGUUACGUUCCCAUUUUCAUAUGUUUUGUAUUUUAUUUAUUUAUUACAUCAAUUAGAGUUAAGAGUAUACUCAAAUAGACUAAUGAAUAUGACAAGUUUUAUUUAAAAUAUUAUAUUAUAAACUAAGAAUGUAAAAUUAAAAAAAAUAAACUAAAGCAUACAUA